rfam:Ornithorhynchus anatinus chromosome 3, whole genome shotgun sequence.
AGCAGUGUGGCUCAGUGGAAAGAGCAUGGGCUUUGGAGUCAGAGGUCAUGAGUUCAAAUCCCAGCUCUGCCA